UUGGGGAUUUAGCUCAGUGGUAGAGUGCUUGCCUAGCAAGCGCAAGGCCCUGGGUUCGGUCCUCAGCUCUGGAAA
rnacentral:tRNA from 1 species